UACGUAGGUGGCGAGCGUUAUCCGGAAUUACUGGGCGUAAAGCGCAAGCAGGCGGCGAUUUAAGUCUGACGUGAAAUCUCCUGGCUUAACUGGGAGGGGACGUUGGAAACUGGAUUGCUUGAGGCGGUGAGAGGGGUGUGGAAUUCCCGGUGUAGUGGUGGAAUGCGUAGAUAUCGGGAGGAACACCAGAGGCGAAAGCGACACCCUGGCACUUGCCUGACGCUGAGAUGCGAAAGCGUGGGGAGCAAACGGG
rnacentral:rRNA from 1 species